rnacentral:rRNA from 1 species
GUGCACGCUGGCGGUAGGCCUAACCCAUGCAAGUCGAACGGCAGCACGGUAAGAGCUUGCUCUUACGGGUGGCGAGUGGCGGACGGGUGAGGAAUACAUCGGAAUCUACUUUUUCGUGGGGGAUAACGUAGGGAAACUUACGCUAAUACCGCAUACGACCUACGGGUGAAAGCAGGGGAUCUUCGGACCUUGCGCGAUUGAAUGAGCCGAUGUCGGAUUAGCUAGUUGGCGGGGUAAAGGCCCACCAAGGCGACGAUCCGUAGCUGGUCUGAGAGGAUGAUCAGCCACACUGGAACUGAGACACGGUCCAGACUCCUACGGGAGGCAGCAGUGGGGAAUAUUGGACAAUGGGCGCAAGCCUGAUCCAGCCAUACCGCGUGGGUGAAGAAGGCCUUCGGGUUGUAAAGCCCUUUUGUUGGGAAAGAAAAGCAGCAGGUUAAUACCCCGCUGUUCUGACGGUACCCAAAGAAUAAGCACCGGCUAACUUCGUG